rnacentral:ncRNA from 1 species
AAAAUCCGAGCUAUAUUUUCUAAGGGCAUCUAUGAACUUAUAGCCGAAGCUUUUAGCUUAAGGGUCAAGGGAGAAAUCUUGUGGCCUUCCGUUUUGAAAAGGACA